GGCGCCCGGCGGCAUGCCGGGAGAUGUAGUCCUGCUCCCGGCCCGCCUUGGGAGCGCCUCCCGGAACGGCCUGCAGCGCUGGAACACCCCGCAGCAAAAAACCGGGGCUCUCACUCCCCAUUUCCACAGCUUAAUUGUUAGGAGAAAGUGUUCUCCCAAGCCUGGGAGAAGUGCAGGGGAGGCUGGGAGCCUUCAGACAAGGGCCACUGUGGUUUUAAGGGCUCUUUCCUCCUUGGUGCCAUCAGUGAGGCAUUGCACAGCAGUUUCCUGUUACCGCAUCCAUCCGCAGCGAUAAGAGCCUGCUGUCAGCCAGCUCUUUCAUCCUGCAGUUAAUUUUGUCUUUGAUUUUGGUUUUUUUUGGGGUUUUCUUGGUUCUUUUUCCCUUCCUUUUUGUAUUUCCGCUUUGUCUUAGGUUGCAAAUACAAGAUGUGGCUGGGGGUGUGUGUUCUAUUGCCGUCUGUUAGAGGUCAGGCAGCUGUCUUCUGUUAAUUGGGCCACCUGUUAAACCAGAUGCUGCGCCCACGGGGAGGAGCCAAGCAUUCCUAACUGGAUAUGAUCUGAGAUUUGGAACACCACAGCAGCCUUUUCCUGCUGGAUUCCCAGAGGAGCAGAUUUCUUCUCCACUGGAUUCCCAGAAGAAGACCAGGCCCAUCUGCACCACCACUAGACCUUCAGAGGAAAACUGCACCCUUCUACAGGAUCACUGCUUCAACAGAUGCUGGUGCAUGAUGACGCUGCAAAUCCUAAAAUAUAUUUUAGGAUUGAAUAAUUAGAAAUAUCCAUUAGUAGGUAAUUGGAUGAUUCAAGUUGUACCAUUGUGGUGAAAGCUAUAAAACCCCCUAAAGAAAAAUUGCUUGUAUGUGACCAGCUUGAUUGUGACACCUCAUGCACGUAAUUGAAUAUUUAUCCUUGCAAUGCUAAUCAGUCAUCAUGAGCCCGUUACUGAAACAAAGGCCAACAGGCCAAACAAUUUUUGUCUGUUAAAAACGCAUUUAUUAAGCCAGCUGAGAGAAAGCAUUAGAGUCUGUGCUCUAUGCUCUGUUUCAUAUAGAUUUCAGUGGGUUUAUACAACAUUUUUACCACAUUUCCCUCUUUCCUUUUUUGGUUAGUAUUUGAUAAGCAAGUGGUUAGGUAUACAUUCCAUUCCUACUAUAUAUUUAACCUAUUGUUGAUGCAAAACCACCCACUCUUCCUUAUCUUUUACCUGUACAUAUUACAUCCAGCUGCUUGUCUUCCUGUUUUGCCACUUUUGGUUACUAUAUUUCUUUCCCAUUUUUAGCUAUUUUGUUAUACUGAAAUUAAUGUCUUUAUUUUGUUAGGUUAUAGUCAUGCCAAUACUUUAAUUCACAUCUGUUAAUUACAAUCUCCUGGUUCCAUUGGCAGGCUUCCCUGUAGUUCCCUUUCCUGGGGUCAGGAGACAUGAUAAAGCUGUAGCAAACUGCGUGGUACUGACAUAUUCUGUGUGCCUCAGUGACAAACCUAAACAGCACACAGGCCUGGCUGACAAGCAACCAGUUCUUUUCCUAUUUUUCACAAGAUUCAGUUCACCCCUUUCUCCAGCAGUGAGUCUGGAAGUGGGUAGUGCUAUGAAUCAAGUUAUAUAUGCCUAAUUUAAUAAGCAACAAAAUUGCAUUUAGCAGCAAUUUUAAUUGAACAGCAAUUUUGUAUAAAUGAAUACAAUCAAGUAUAUUAAAUAUAAGCAAGCAUAUAUAAAAUUUAGCAGUGAUUAAUUAGGUAUGAUUAAGGUUCAUAUAAAGCAUAAGCAAAACCAACUAGGGUACAGGGUGGGCUUCUCACCCUGCCUCACGUCCGAAACAAAAGAAUCCAAAGUAAACCUUACAUACUGCAUGCUAAUACAUAUCCAUCAAUAAUUUUCCGUAAAUCCCAUCCUAUUUUUGAUUAUUGAAAUCUACAUCACUAUACUGCAUGGCACAUGCUCCGUUGUUGCUAGGGGGUCUCCUGGCUUUUUGGUGGUCUUUUCAGAGGAAGGCUCACCUCUUCCUCACUGCCCUCUGAAUAACCUGGCAGGUUGCAGAUGUGCAUUAAGCUUUGUGUCAUGUAAGUAAGCAUUAUGUUCCAAAUAAGUCUUAUUACUUUAUAGAUAGGACCUCUACUUUAGAUUCCAUAUCUGGAAUCAUCCCAACUUUGCUCAUCCCAAUUCUGCUUUAGGAAUCGUCCCAACCUUGUUUGUCCCAAGGCUGAUUCUGCUUUGGGAUCUUGCCUAUCUCAAUACUACAUCCUGUGUCCUGUUUCUCACAUGUUACAUCUGCAAAGGGCCCAUCUGUUUACCCUUUAUUACUUUAUAACAAAUAUUUUAUAAAAUAUUGAUAUAGUUAUGAUUUAAUUAGCACAAAUCAUAUCCAUUUAUCACAGUAGUAAUAUGUUCCUCCGCUUCUCAGCUGGAAGUAAUUAAAUAAUUACUAGCCCAGUGACUAUAACUGUCUAACCUCAGGAGCUGCUUCUGAAGCAGUUCAUGAACUGCCAAACUUCACACACCUAUGCUGUAUCUCAAACUGGCAUCAGAUUAUCCCAAGGAGCAGACAGAUGCUGCUCCGAAACUGCUUUGGCUGCAGGCAGCUGCAGGAAGGACUUCAGCCACAUCAGCCUGAACAUGUGGAGAAACUGUACUGAUAAAGCACCAGGCUAUAAAGAGUGGCUCAGGAAAUGCUCUAACACAGACUCUCUGCAAAGAGUGACCUCAGCUUGUGGGAUUGUUCCUCCCCAGCUGCAAAAAAGCACUUGCCUUGGCUGAGCUCCAUUAGGUUCCUGUCUGCUGAUUUCUCCAGCCUGUCAGUUCUCCCUAUUCAGAGGGACAUCAUGAGGUUGCCAGAUAAAAAAUCUUCUGCACCUUGGUGGGCUAACACAAUGUUUAUUCUUCAAACACCACUGGCCUAUGGAACUGCACAAUUUCCAUUCUGCAAGAAGAACUGGAAAGCAGCUAGCCCAUGUGCCAACUUCUACCAGUUCACUGGACAGUCAGGUAUCACUCUGGGGUCAACCACCAGGGACCACCUAAGAGACUCCCAGAACAUAAGAAUAUGUGCAUAAAGGGGAGGGGAAAAGUUAAUGAUUUCAGGGAAAUGAUUGUCAUAUGUAUGUUUAUUCUGGAAAACUGUCGUGGUUUGGCCCAGAAAUGUGUUUUUGGAAAGGUCUAAGUCGAGCCAAUCAGGGGCCAAAUUCAAAAUUGGCAUUUAAGGUAGCCACUAAGAGUUUGGAUACGCCUCUGAGAACACACGGGGGUUAAAAGCAGGAAAUUCUCAGAGAACUUCCUCUUUGGGAAUCCGGCGUUGGUGAGUAGAGUCUGGCCUCUCCCCUGCCCAGCUGCGCCUGGGUGGGGGAGGCCAUGACAGGGAGGAGGCCGGGAGCCCCAAAAGGUGCAGAGGUGGAGGAGAACAUGCAGGGGUUGAUGAGAAUUGAGAUGUCUGGGCAGCCCCCCCGGAGAGAGGGACAGAGAUUGUGCUGGCAACUCAGCCGGCCAGAAGCGGGGGAUGCGGCGAGAGAAGUGCCCGGCAGAUGUGGGAGUCCUUGGGCAGGCAGAGUUGAAGAUUUUAACCCCUUUGUAGACUAAUAGAAACCUUACAAAUACUGAAUCCUCCUGAAUCAGGAUGAGGUGAGAGAGAGAUGAGAGAUGGGCAAGCGUGAGGAAAGCUGGAAGAGAGAAGAAUCCUGAGUGGAAGAGAUGAUGGAGUGGCCUUGGGCUGGACUCUUUCUUGUAUAGCCAUGGACAGACCCGUGUUUUUCCCUGUGACCCAGAGACUGUAUUUAGGGGGAGGCAACACCCGGGAGUCAAGAGUGAAGCAGCGGCGUGAACAGAGACGGCUGAAGGGGGUGUGGGAUGCCCUCUGUCUCCACAGAGAGGAAGAUCUCUGUUCAUGAGGCCCCUCGGCCCCAGGGGGUGAAAUUUGGGGGGGACUGGUGUCCCAAGAGUUGAGAGACUGCUGUUUCUGGAAGUGGGUGGAGCAUCUUUAAACGGGGAGCCCUAAAAGCAGUCCUGGCCCGUGUCCAGUGGUGAGAGCACUGGACAUGGGGGGGGGAGAAGUCACGAGGGCCGAUGUUCUUUGGGUGGGGCCAUGGAUGACGCGGAAGCACAGGAGGUUUCAAUUGUGCUUCCGGGGGAGGCCCAUGAGGCAAGGGGGGACUCCUCUCUCCCUGAUGGAUUUGAGGGUUGAUAAUUUGAGGGGUGGUGGAUCUCUGGAGAAAAGGGAGGGGGAGGAGGAAGGUAUCUGGAAGGUUUUCAUUCUUAGUUUAGUAUGUGUUCCUUUCUAGAUUUGUAAUAAAUAAAGUGUUAUGUUUUUUUUUCCCUCCAUCCCCGAAUGAGAGCCUGCUUUGUUCUGUUCCCGGGUCACAUCUCACAGCCACCAUUUUGAAAAUAUACCCUUCAUGGGGGCCCUGGCAUUGUGCCAGGGUCAAACCAUGACAAAAACUAAUGAAUAUGCAUGUAAAAUACAGUAUUUAAACAGGAGCUUUUCUUUAUUCAGCAUGCACAAUAUUUCAGAGGACAAAUCCCCUUGUGCAUCCAGCACUGAAUAAAGAAUACCAGCUUCAUAAUACUACAUUGGUGUUAAGGGUUUUU